GUGUCAGCCGCCGCGGUAAUACGGAGGAUCCAAGCGUUAUCCGGAAUCAUUGGGUUUAAAGGGUCCGUAGGCGGUUUAGUAAGUCAGUGGUGAAAGCCCAUCGCUCAACGAUGGAACGGCCAUUGAUACUGCUAGACUUGAAUUACUAGGAAGUAACUAGAAUAUGUAGUGUAGCGGUGAAAUGCUUAGAUAUUACAUGGAAUACCAAUUGCGAAGGCAGGUUACUACUAGUGGAUUGACGCUGAUGGACGAAAGCGUGGGGAGCGAACAGGAUUAGAAACCCCAGUAGUCC
rnacentral:rRNA from 1 species